GUCGCCGCCUGGCAUGGCAGCACUCCUCGGCUGCUAAUGGAUCGGGGCCGGUACAUUCAUUACACCGCGCCACUUGGUGCCGAACGGCAGAUGAAGAGAGGGAGGGAGAACAGGCCUUCCUUAGCUGCAUCUUGAGGCACACAAUGUGUGGACAGGCUGUGAAGAGCAAGCAGUGACAGAGGCCAAAAAUAGCCAGAUUUGCACAGUGCAGGAGAACAGCUGUUUUAGGAUAUGACUACACGCCUGCCAUGCGCUGCAUGGAUGAUCUUAUGAGGAACAGACAGAUGCCAGAUGUAACUGUAACCUCCCCCAAAUGUACUGGCCACACUGGCUGAAUUGAUGCACAUGGCUGAA